rnacentral:rRNA from 1 species
UUGGCCUCUAGUGGCGCACGGGUGCGUAACGCGUGGGAAUCUGCCCAAAGGUUCGGAAUAACCCGGGGAAACUCGGGCUAAUACCGGAUGAUGUCGCAAGACCAAAGAUUUAUCGCCUUUGGAUGAGCCCGCGUCGGAUUAGCUAGUUGGUGGGGUAAAGGCCUACCAAGGCGACGAUCCGUAGCUGGUCUGAGAGGAUGAUCAGCCACACUGGGACUGAGACACGGCCCAGACUCCUACGGGAGGCAGCAGUGGGGAAUAUUGGACAAUGGGCGAAAGCCUGAUCCAGCAAUGCCGCGUGAGUGAUGAAGGCCUUAGGGUUGUAAAGCUCUUUUACCCGGGAUGAUAAUGACAGUACCGGGAGAAUAAGCCCCGGCUAACUCCGUGCCAGCAGCCGCGGUAAUACGGAGGGGGCUAGCGUUGUUCGGAAUUACUGGGCGUAAAGCGUACGUAGGCGGCUUCGCAAGUCAGAGGUGAAAGCCCGGGGCUCAACUCCGGAACUGCCUUUGAGACUGCGUCGCUUGAUCACGGGAGAGGUGAGUGGAAUUCCGAGUGUAGAGGUGAAAUUCGUAGAUAUUCGGA